AGGUUAGUAGGUUGGUCAUGCCUCUGGUAUGUACUGGUCUCACUGAUUCCUCCUUCCUUAUGAACCGUAAUGCCAUUAAUUUGGUGUUGCGGGGAAUUUGGACUGUUACUUUGAAAAAAUUAGAGUGUUUAAAGCAGGCUAACGCUUGAAUACAUUAGCAUGGAAUAAUGAAAUAGGACGUUCGAUCUUAUUUUGUUGGUUUCUAGGAUUGACGUA
rnacentral:rRNA from 1 species